UACGUGAGCCCCGAGCGUUAUCCGGAAUUACUGGGCGUAAAGAGUGCGUAGGCGGUUGUGUUAGUCUUCUGUUUAAUCCUUCGGCUCAACCGAAGAACCGCAGAGGAAACGGCACAACUGGAGCGUGUGAGAGGUGAGUGGAACUCAUGGUGUAGGGGUGAAAUCCGUUGAUAUCAGUGGGGAACACCAAAUGCGAAGGCAGCUCACUGGCACAUUGCUGACGCUGAGGCCACGAAAGCGUGGGGUAGCGAA
rnacentral:rRNA from 1 species